rnacentral:rRNA from 1 species
UACGUAGGGGGCAAGCGUUGUCCGGAUUUAUUGGGCGUAAAGCGCUCGCAGGUGGUUCGUCGCGUCGUGCGUGAAAGACCCCGGCUCAACUGGGGGGUGUCGUGCGAUACGGGCAGACUAGAGUGUGGUAGGGGAGACUGGAAUUCCUGGUGUAGCGGUGGAAUGCGCAGAUAUCAGGAGGAACACCGAUGGCGAAGGCAGGUCUCUGGGCCACUACUGACGCUGAGAAGCGAAAGCAUGGGGAGCGAACAGG